rnacentral:rRNA from 1 species
GGCCUUAUGGUUGUAAAGCACUUUAAGCGAGGAGGAGGCUACUUUAGUUAAUACCUAGAGAUAGUGGACGUUACUCGCAGAAUAAGCACCGGCUAACUCUGUGCCAGCAGCCGCGGUAAUACAGAGGGUGCAAGCGUUAAUCGGAUUUACUGGGCGUAAAGCGCGCGUAGGCGGCUAAUUAAGUCAAAUGUGAAAUCCCCGAGCUUAACUUGGGAAUUGCAUUCGAUACUGGUUAGCUAGAGUGUGGGAGAGGAUGGUAGAAUUCCAGGUGUAGCGGUGAAAUGCGUAGAGAUCUGGAGGAAUACCGAUGGCGAAGGCAGCCAUCUGGCCUAACACUGACGCUGAGGUGCGAAAGCAUGGGGAGCAAACAGGAUUAGAUACCCUGGUAGUCCAUGCCGUAAACGAUGUCUACUAGCCGUUGGGGCCUUUGAGGCUUUAGUGGCGCAGCUAACGCGAUAAGUAGACCGCCUGGGGAGUACGGUCGCAAGACUAAAACUCAAAUGAAUUGACGGGGGCCCGCACAAGCGGUGGAGCAUGUGGUUUAAUUCGAUGCAACGCGAAGAACCUUACCUGGCCUUGACAUAGUAAGAACUUUCCAGAGAUGGAUUGGUGCCUUCGGGAACUUACAUACAGGUGCUGCAUGGCUGUCGUCAGCUCGUGUCGUGAGAUGUUGGGUUAAGUCCCGCAACGAGCGCAACCCUUUUCCUUAUUUGCCAGCGAGUAAUGUCGGGAACUUUAAGGAUACUGCCAGUGACAAACUGGAGGAAGGCGGGGACGACGUCAAGUCAUCAUGGCCCUUACGGCCAGGGCUACACACGUGCUACAAUGGUCGGUACAAAGGGUUGCUACACAGCGAUGUGAUGCUAAUCUCAAAAAGCCGAUCGUAGUCCGGAUUGGAGUCUGCAACUCGACUCCAUGAAGUCGGAAUCGCUAGUAAUCGCGGAUCAGAAUGCCGCGGUGAAUACGUUCCCGGGCCUUGUACACACCGCCCGUCACACCAUGGGAGUUUGUUGCACCAGAAGUAGCUAGCCUAACUGCAAAGAGGGCGGUUACCACGGUGUGGCCGAUGACUGGGGUGAAGUCGUAACAAGGUAGCCGUAGGGGAACCUGCGGCUGGAUCACC